ACCAGGGUGGCGCAAUUGGUUGACGCAUCAGUUUUAGGUACUGAGAAAGUAAUGUUUUUGAGGGUUCGAGUCCCUUCCCUGGUA
rnacentral:tRNA from 1 species